CGGACGUAGCCAAGUGGUUCCAAGG
rnacentral:tRNA from 1 species